rnacentral:rRNA from 1 species
AGCAGCCGCGGUAAUUCCAGCUCCAAUAGCGUAUAUUAAAGUUGUUGCAGUUAAAAAGCUCGUAGUUGAAUUUCGGGAUUGACGUGAUGGUCGUGCCUUAAGGGGUAUGAACUGUUGCUGUUGAUUUCUCACCUUCUGGAGAAACUUGAUGUCCUUAAUUGGGUGUCUUGCGGAUCCAGGACCUUUACCUUGAAAAAUUAGAGUGUUUAAAGCAGGCAUUUUGCUCAAAUACAUUAGCAUGGAAUAAUAGAAUAGGACGGCAUGGUUCUAUUUUGUUGGUUUCUAGGAUCACCGUAAUGAUUAAUAGGGAUAGUUGGGGGCAUUAGUAUUCAAUUGUCAGAGGUGAAAUUCUUGGAUUUAUUGAAGACUAACUACUGCGAAAGCAUUUGCCAAGGAUGUUUUCAUUAAUCAAGAACGAAAGUUAGGGGAUCGAAGACGAUCAGAUACCGU